GUGUCAGCAGCCGCGGUAAUACAGAGACUGCAAGCGUUGUUCGGAUUCAUUGGGCGUAAAGGGUGCGCAGGCGGUCUGGUAAGUCGGAUGUAAAAUCUCGAGGCUUAACCUCGAUAGGUCAUUCGAAACUGCCAGGCUAGAGGAUUGGAGAGGAGACUGGAAUAGUUGGUGUAGCAGUGAAAUGCGUAGAGAUCAACUAGAACACCGGUGGCGAAGGCGAGUCUCUGGACAAUUCCUGACGCUCAGGCACGAAAGCCAGGGGAGCAAACGGGAUUAGAUACCCCGGUAGUCC
rnacentral:rRNA from 1 species